rnacentral:tRNA from 1 species
UAGGAAGUGGUGUAGUGGAGGCACGGAGAGUUUUGAUCUCUCAAGGAGGGGUUCGAGCCCCNUUUUUCUAA